rnacentral:rRNA from 1 species
UACAGAGGGUGCGAGCGUUAAUCGGAAUUACUGGGCGUAAAGCGCGCGUAGGCGGCUUUGCAAGUCGGGUGUGAAAUCCCCAGGCUUAACCUGGGAACUGCAUUCGAGACUGCAUUGCUAGAGUAUGGGAGAGGGAAGUGGAAUUUCCGGUGUAGCGGUGAAAUGCGUAGAUAUCGGAAGGAACAUCAGUGGCGAAAGCAGGUGACUGGACACGUAUUGACACUCAGCCACGAAAGCUAGGGGAGCAAACAGG